CUUGGUCAUUUAGAGGAAGUAAAAGUCGUAACAAGGUCUCCGUUGGUGAACCAGCGGAGGGAUCAUUACAGAGUUGAAAGACUCCCAAACCACUGUGAACAUACCCGUGAGCGUUGCCUCGGCGGGCGGCCCCAGGGCGGGGCCGCAACCUCCCCAAGCUAGCGGGGAGGUGCCCGCCGCAGGCCCAUACAAACUAUCUUGAAACUUAGUGGCCUCUCUGAGUCGGUUACCAAUAAUUAAAACUUUCAACAACGGAUCUCUUGGCUCUGGCAUCGAUGAAGAACGCAGCGAAAUGCGAUAAGUAAUGUGAAUUGCAGAAUUCAGUGAAUCAUCGAAUCUUUGAACGCACAUUGCGCCCCUUGGUAUUCCGAGGGGCAUGCCUGUUCGAGCGUCAUUACACCACUCAAGCUAUGCUUGGUAUUGGGCGUCGUCCUUAGUUGGGCGCGCCUUAAAGACCUCGGCGAGGCCUCACCGGCUUUAGGCGUAGUAGAAUUUAUUCAAUAACGUCUGUCAAUGGAGAGGACUUCUGCCGACUGAAACCUUUAUUUUUUACAGGUUGACCUCGGAUCAGGUAGGGAUACCCGCUGAACUUAAGCAUAUCAAUAAGCGGAGG
rnacentral:rRNA from 1 species